rnacentral:rRNA from 1 species
CAGCCGCCGCGGGAAUACGAAGGGGGCUAGCGUUGUUCGGAAUAACUGGGCGUAAAGGGCGCGUAGGCGGAUCUUUAAGUCAGGGGUGAAAUCCCAAGGCUCAACCUUGGAACUGCCUUUGAUACUGGAGAUCUUGAGUCCGGGAGAGGUGAGUGGAACUGCGAGUGUAGAGGUGAAAUUCGUAGAUAUUCGGAGGAACACCAGUGGCGAAGGCGGCUCACUGGUCCAUUACUGACGCUGAGGUGCGAAAGCGUGGGGAGCAAACAGGAUUAGAUACCCCUGUAGUCCCUGUCUCUUAUAC